CCUGGUGUGAUGUCGAGCAGGAGAAAAGAAGAAGAGGGAGCCAAUUUCAUCAUGACAAUCACAAAAUUGGAUGGCUAAAACCCCAACUCUGCUCUCUUUGAUCAAUUUCUAGCAUUCUUGAUAGGUGAAAUAACGUCUGGAUGGCAACGGGUCAAACGAGUAAUAAAGCAACAACACUCCUACGGGCGAAGGUGAUAAGUCAUGAAAAUCAACGGGGUGACUUGAACCGGAAUCAUGAAAGAAGAAAAGACUCACAAGUCAUUCACAAAUAAUUCGGUUCAAUCAAUAUAUUAGUUAUUAUUAUGCUUACCAUAGUUUUUCGUUCGACGCUAAUGAUAUGGUAAUGUUAUAUGACAGUUUGGGGUGGUAGAAAGGCGAAAGUGAUCAAGUCUUGGAAGCGGGUCAAAGAUAGGAGGAUUUAGUGAUAUGUUCACUAAGUAUAGAGGUUUCCUUAUUGGGCCAAUUAGACUUAAUUAUUUGUAUUUUGGAGUUUAAGUCCAAUGUUUAUUUUAGCGAAAUGCUAGUAUGUCAAUGUGGU